UACGUAGGGUGCAAGCGUUGUCCGGAUUUAUUGGGCGUAAAGAGCUCGUAGGCGGUCCGUCGCGUCGGCUGUGCAACCCGGGCUCAACCCGGCCUGCAGUCGAUACGGCGACUAGAGUUCGGUAGGGAGACUGGAAUUCCUGGUGUAGCGGUGAAAUGCGCAGAGAUCGGAGAACACCCGUAGCGAGGCGCACUCUGGCCGGUACUGACGCUGAGAGCGAAGCGAUGGGAGCAACAGG
rnacentral:rRNA from 1 species